GUGUGUGUGUGUUCAUCAGUCUGCGUGGGUCAGAAUGUGUGCAUCAGUUUGCAUGGGUCAGUGUAUGUGUGUGUGUGUGAGUCAGUUUGUAUGGGUCAGUGUGUGUGUGUCAGUUUGAAUGGGUCAGUGUGCAUGUGUGAAUCAGUCUGCAUAGGUGGGUGUAUAUGUGUGUGCCAAUCGCCAUGGUUUAGUGUGUAUGUCUGCUUGGGUCAGUGUGUGUCAGUCUGCAUGAAUCAGUGUGUGUCUACUUGAGUCAGUUUGUAUGUUUCAGUCUGCAUGAGUGGAUGGAGCGAAUGAGGCGGCAAAAAUC